GUCUAUUCUUUUUUCCUUUCUAGAGAGGAACUUAUUAGAGAAAUGUUCUCCAUACAGCAGAAUAAUUUCUCCCAGACUCUAUGCAUAAUAUUUUAACCUCUAGUCUUCAUGUAAUGUAUUUCCUAGAUAUGAUUUCAGUUCCCUAGCCUACUACCCACCAUCCCUCAGGCCUUCACUGCCACCCCUGCACACUCAUAUCCACAGACAUGAAUCUGCCCCAACAUUAAGGAUCGAAAACAAGAGGAGAGAGGAGGCUACAGACUGUAUGUCUCAAUACAUACUUAUAAAUUAAACUAACAAUUAUGAAAUAAGUGUAUUCUAUCCUCCUACUUUCAUAGCAGCCUGGAAGUCCACAUUCAAAUUUGCGAUUUUUGGACAUUUUGGAAUUGACUGUGGAAGUGUGGGGAGUACCCCCCUCUACAUUGUAUCCUAGUCCAUGUUCUUGCUACUUCCAGCUCUGUAGUAAAUGUGAAAGGCCCUACAUACAUACACUAAACUGUUUUCCCAUGAAAUGUAGAAGAGGACAAGAGAAGAGAUUGAAAAGUAAGCAGGGAUGAUGAGAACCCAGUCCCAAGGAAAGCUGAGGUUUGGUAUUGCCAAUAGAGAAAAGUCACAUAUCAUGGAGAAAGCUGUGAAGGUAACUUCCAAGGCCAUUCAGGACCUGCUGGUAAUCCCAGCUGUCAGGCAGGCAGCUGCUGAGGAACACUAUAUCUGAUGGCUCAUCACUUCUGAGAGACACAAGGGUAAAAGCACCAGACAGUUUAAAAGAGCUGUGGUAUAUUCUCCAGGCACCAAAAGGAUUUAUUACAUGCAAAUUUCCAUUAGUGCUAAUGGAGUUAUUAUAGGUGAUUCAUACUUUAAAGAUAAUAAACAAAAACUUGGUUUCA
rnacentral:lncRNA from 1 species